AUCAGAUGCCAGGUAUGUGGAAUAUAUCUAAUCCUUGUAACAAACUUGAAUUGGAGGUCAUUGUCCAAUUUUACAAAUAAACAGUCUCCAAGAUAUUAAGCAGAUUUUCCAAGGCCAAUUUGUAAAUGCCACAGCUAGUGUUCAAAGCCAAGACUUUCUGGCUCCAACUCCCAUGCACUUUCCACUACACAGGUGCAUCUCAGCCCAGGCUAUGUUCACAAUACUCACCAUCACCAUCACCAUCAUCAUUAACUCCAGCCCAGGCUAUGGUCACAAUACUCACCAUCACCGUCAUCAACAUCAUUAACUCCAGCCCAGGCUAUGGUCACAAUACUCACCAUCACCGUCAUCUUCAUCAUUAACUCCAGCCCAGGCUAUGUUCACAAUACUCACCAUCACCGUCAUCAUCAUUAACUCCAGCCCAGGCUAUGUUCACAAUACUCACCAUCACCGUCAUCAUCAUUAACUCCAGCCCAGGCUAUGUUCACAGUACUCACCAUCACCGUCAUCAUCAUCAUUAACUCCAGCCCAGGCUAUGUUCACAGUACUCACCAUCACCGUCAUCUUCAUCAUGAACUCCAGCCCAGGCUAUGUUCACAGUACUCACCAUCACCGUCAUCAUCAUCAUUAACUCCAGCCCAGGCUAUGUUCACAGAACUCACCAUCACCAUCACUGUCAUCAUCAUCAUUAACUCCAGCCCAGGCUAUGUUCACAGUACUCACCAUCACCGUCAUCUUCAUCAUUAACUCCAGCCCAGGCUAUGGUCACAAUACUCAACAUCACCGUCAUCAACAUCAUUAACUCCAGCCCAGGCUAUGGUCACAAUACUCACCAUCACCGUCAUCUUCAUCAUUAACUCCAGCCCAGGCUAUGUUCACAAUACUCACCAUCACCGUCAUCAUUAACUCCAGCCCAGGCUAUGUUCACAGUACUCACCAUCACCAUCACUGUCACCAUCAUCAUUAACUCCAGCCCAGGCUAUGGUCACAAUACUCACCAUCACCGUCACCUUCAUCAUUAACUCCAGCCCAGGCUAUGUUCACAAUACUCACCAUCACCGUCAUCAUCAUGAACUCCAGCCCAGGCUAUGUUCACAGAACUCACCAUCACCGUCAUCAUCAUCAUUAACUCCAGCCCAGGCUAUGUUCACAGAACUCACCAUCACCAUCACUGUCAUCAUCAUCAUUAACUCCAGCCCAGGCUAUGUUCACAGUACUCACCAUCACCGUCAUCUUCAUCAUUAACUCCAGCCCAGGCUAUGUUCACAGAACUCACCAUCACCGUCAUCAUCAUCAUUAACUCCAGCCCAGGCUAUGUUCACAGUACUCACCAUCACCAUCACCGUCACCAUCAUCAUUAACUCCAGCCCAGGCUAUGUUCACAGUACUCACCAUC
rnacentral:lncRNA from 1 species